rnacentral:lncRNA from 13 species
CAAGAACAUUACUGAGGUCUUGCUUUGGGAGAGCAGCAGCAUUCCAUGUAUUUUUUCCCUGCUCAUAGCUUCAGUGAUUUAACAGACUGAUAAAGGCAGUUGGGCAGAAACCAAAGGAUGAGUAAAGUAACACUGACUGUUUAGUCAACAGUCAUGUUUUGAGACAGUGGCCAUGUUUUCAUCUGUUGGCUACAUUUGGUUUCCUCCCUCCCCAUUUUCCUUUUGUGUUUCAGUUACUUUGGAUUCAAAUAUUACAAAUAGUGAUGUCUUCAUAGAUUCUUUUUGAAAGCUACAACAGGUAAGUUUUGAAUUUUUCAGCCAAAUAGUUUGCUAUAUGAAAGAGUUGAAAUAUUAUCCUACCUCCCAAGUUCAAGAAUUCCUUUGCUAUCUUCCUUUCCUUGUGUUCUUAGCGUAUCACUCUGCCUUGUAAAACAGUGAGUUCCAAUGACAGAGUGCUCUCUGUGAAGCCUGGGUGGCAAUAAUAAUAGUAUUGCUAUUGUUUUUUUCUCCAUGUACAAACUUGUUUCUCACAUGGAAAGAACUGCUUCCUUUGUUUUUAUAUUCUGUGGCAUAUCUGAUGAAUCUUUUGCCUCUAAACAGUUCACAGGAAAGUCUUUGUGAGAGCUCAAUAGAAGGAUUACACACAUUCUUGGAUUUUGCAAUUGUAAAUGCUUUUUGAUAGUGUCAGUGGUUUGCACUGAUGAGUGUAUUGAUGACUGCUGGGAAAAUGUCGUGUUCUCUUAUCUUGCAGUUGUAUUGAUGGGCAGAAUCUGGCAUAUAUUUAGGUUGUUGUAGCCUAGAUGACUUUUCAAAUCCAUUUUAAUGUGGCCCAUGGCAUGUCUGAUCUUUCUUUGGCAGGCUUGGAGCUUUCAUAACUUUUGCUUGUGUCUGACUAUUGGAAGUUGCCAUAUGUCCCUUUUCCAUUCCUCCUUUCCUGUUGCUGUGGUUCUAAUGACAAUAGUAGUGUUUUGGAGCAGGGGGGUGCAGUAUGAUUCCACAGCAUUUUUAGGGAGGGGAUGCUGUUUUCAUUUUCUGGGAAGAGCUUGGUGUGCUGUGAUAACCUUGCUUGAAGUGAACUGUUCUGGGAAGUGGGCAAGUGUUGAAGGACCAAAUAAGAGGCCCUUUUGGUGAGGAGGGGUGAUUUGGUAAGUACAUGUGCAGUACUAAUUUUACAGGUUAUGUACACGUGUGUAUGCUUAUAAAGGCAGGUGAUGACUGUGCUACCAAAAGCAGACAGUUAUUUAGUAGAGGUCAAGAUAAGCACAGAAUUAUUCCUUAAAUGGUACAAAGUCAGUACAUUCUCAAGACAUAAAAUGAACCCAAAUUUCUGUUCCACAAUACAGUGGAUUUUAAUAAGCUAUGUUUAGGCUCCCUGGUUGGCAAUGACUGUAGUUCUACAGCUUUAUUUGCUUACAAUUAAAACUUAAAAUGGCUGUGCUUUCAUAAAUGCUGCUUCAUAAUACAAAUAGCAGUAGUGCUUUUUGUGUUCUUUUAUUAUGACAAAGAACAAUCUCCAAAUAGAGAUCAAAUAACUCUGUGAAAGACAAGAGUGCAUUCAUUGUCAUCACCUGCGCACAGUGCUUUUUAUUGGUGUGACUGAGAGUUGAAUAAGUAUUCAUUUUGGCUGUUAAAGAAUCUCACCCAACAUACUGGCCUUGUGCUGCAUGUUCUAGUAUUUAUUAGCAUACUGUGACUC